UUGGAGGGCAAGUCUGGUGCCAGCAGCCGCGGUAAUUCCAGCUCCAAUAGCGUAUAUUAAAGUUGUUGCAGUUAAAAAGCUCGUAGUUGAAUUUCGGGACUGACAGGUUGGUCGCGCCUUCGGUGUGUACUGGCCUAGUCGGUUUCUCCCUUCUGACGAACCACGAUGUCAUUAAUUUGGUGUCGUGGGGAAUCAGGACUGUUACUUUGAAAAAAUUAGGGUGUUUAAAGCAGGCUUAGGCUUGAAUACAUUAGCAUGGAAUAAUGAAAUAGGACGUUUGAUCCUAUUUUGUUGGUUUCUAGGAUCGACGUAAUGAUUAAUAGGGAUAGUUGGGGGCAUUAGUAUUCAAUUGUCAGAGGUGAAAUUCUUGGAUUUAUUGAAGACUAACUACUGCGAAAGCAUUUGCCAAGGAUGUUUUCAUUAAUCAAGAACGAAAGUUAGGGGAUCGAAGACGAUCAGAUACCGUCGUAGUCUUAACCAUAAACUAUGCCGACUAGGGAUCGGAUGAUGUUAAUUUUAUAAUGACUCAUUCGGCGCCUUACGGGAAAC
rnacentral:rRNA from 1 species